UACGGAGGGUGCAAGCGUUAUCCGGAUUCACUGGGCUUAAAGGGUGCGUAGGCGGCCUGAUAAGUCAGUGGUGAAAGCUUCCCGCUUAACGGGAAAACUGCCAUUGAAACUGUCGGGCUUGAGUACGAUUGAUGUGGGCGGAAUACAUCAUGUAGCGGUGAAAUGCUUAGAUAUGAUGUAGAACACCGAUUGCGAAGGCAGCUCACAAAAUCGCAACUGACGCUGAGGCACGAAAGCGUGGGGAGCAAACAGG
rnacentral:rRNA from 1 species